GCCGAGGUGGCGGAAUGGCAGACGCGCGCGCCUCAAGAGCGCGUGAGGGCAACCUCAUGUGGGUUCGACUCCCACCCUCGGCACCA
rnacentral:tRNA from 1 species